rnacentral:rRNA from 1 species
AACGAACGCUGGCGGCAUGCCUAACACAUGCAAGUCGAACGAGACCUUCGGGUCUAGUGGCGCACGGGUGCGUAACGCGUGGGAAUCUGCCCUUUGCUUCGGAAUAACAGUUAGAAAUGACUGCUAAUACCGGAUGAUGUCUUCGGACCAAAGAUUUAUCGGCAAAGGAUGAGCCCGCGUAGGAUUAGGUAGUUGGUGGGGUAAAGGCCUACCAAGCCGACGAUCCUUAGCUGGUCUGAGAGGAUGAUCAGCCACACUGGGACUGAGACACGGCCCAGACUCCUACGGGAGGCAGCAGUGGGAAUAUUGGACAAUGGGCGAAAGACCUGAUCCAGCAAUGCCGCGUGAGUGAUGAAGGCCUCGGUCGGUAAG